UACGAAGGGAGCUAGCGUUGUUCGGAAUUACUGGGCGUAAAGCGCGCGUAGGCGGCUUUGUAAGUUAGAGGUGAAAGCCCGGAGCUCAACUCCGGAACUGCCUUUAAAACUGCAUCGCUUGAAUCCAGGAGAGGUGAGUGGAAUUCCGAGUGUAGAGGUGAAAUUCGUAGAUAUUCGGAAGAACACCAGUGGCGAAGGCGGCUCACUGGACUGGUAUUGACGCUGAGGUGCGAAAGCGUGGGGAGCAAACAGG
rnacentral:rRNA from 1 species